UCUCUGACGGUCAAUUCUUCAUAGUUGAACAAUCGUCAGAAUAACAUUUUUUUAAUUUCAAUUAUUUUUAAUUUUUUUAAUUUAUGAAAAACUAAAAUGAAAAGUCUCAAAUAUGCAUUAAUCGUUGAAUUUGAAACAGAAAUAAAUAUGGAGGAUAUCAAAAUUUUAUUUUCAAUCUACUGAAAAGAACGAGUAAUGUUCUUAUCAGUAUUACAAGCAACUAUAUAUUUUAAAAAUAUUUUAAUAAUUAUUAAAAAUAACUCUAAAUAUUAUUGAAUGUGAUAGAGGACUGCUUAUUUGUGCGUAGAUGAUUUGGAAGAUCGUGUAAUGUUUAAUAUAAGGAUGGCCGACCUCAAGUAGUUGGGAUAAAGAUUACAUAAUUGAAAAAAUAAAAUAAAAUGUUUAAAUAUAUAAGAUGUUAAGUAUAUGUAUAAGAAUAAAAAUAAAAUUACAUUAAUUCUGAUUUAAAAAAAUAUUAUAAUGGUAAAUCAAAGCAAAACUAAAUAAUAAUUAUGUUUUUAAUAAUCAUACAUGUUUAAAAGGACGACUGUAUGGCGUAAUCGAAUCAACGAUAUGACCGAGAGAAUUCUCUAUUAGAUGUUUUACACUGAACUCUUCAAUCACCUCCAGUCAAUCAUUUCAGAUAGCUGCGCGCACCUGUACGGCCGCCUAAUAUUAUUUUGGAGCGGCACACCAUUCUACUAUUGACUGUUGUACUGUGCGUUACAUAUUUUCAUUGAUAAAGGCGAUAAAGCUCACAUAAUAUAAAACAAAAUGAACAUGUAAUAACAAUAAAAUAUCAUACGAUUUCAUUAUGAUAUUUUUUCGAAUGCUACCUCUUAUUAAACGUUUAAGUGUUACGAGUAUCA